AUUGAACGCUGGCGGCAGGCCUAACACAUGCAAGUCGAACGGCAACAGGAAGAGGCUUGCUUCUUAGCUGACGAGUGUCGGAGGGGUGAGAAAUGUCUGGGGAACUGUCUGUUGGAGGGGGAUAACUACUGGAAACGGUAGCUAAAAUAGCAUAAAGUCGCAAGAGCAAAGAGGGGGACCUCCGGGCACCUUGCCCUCGGAAGUGCCCCGAUGGGGUAUGCUAGAAGUUGGGGUAACGGCUCCCACAGGGGACACGACCCAGCGGGUCUGUGAGGGUGACCACCCCCACUGUGGCUGAGACACGGUCCAGACUCCUACGGGAGGCAGCGGUGGGGAAUAUUGCGCAAUGGGCGCGAGCCUGAUGCCGCCAUGCCGCGUGUAUGAAGAGAGCCUUCGGGUUUUAUAGUACUUUUUUCGGGGGGGAAAAGAGUAGAGUUUUUAUCUUUGCUCAUUGACGUUACCCGCAGAAGAUGCGCCGGCUAACUCCGUG
rnacentral:rRNA from 1 species